GUGAUUUUAGAAAUUUAGAAAUAAUUAUCAUGGCCAAGUUGAAUGUAUUGAAAAAAUAAAUAUAGCACCACAACUAAAGUAUUUAUUAAUAAAAUUUUAAUUAAAAUAACAUAAAGAUACAAAAAAAAUAAAAUUAAAACUAAUAAAAUAUUAUCCAAAAUUAUUAUAUUUUGGUUUCUUACAAAGAUUCAUGUCCGCGCCUAUGAGUCACCUAGUUGAAAAUAAUCGUGGAUAGCAAU
rnacentral:lncRNA from 1 species